CGGCAGCUGCUCUUGGGCAGGACAGAUACAAACCUGGUUUACCCUGCUGGAAGAGGAGCAUCAGAUCAUGCAUCUCAACAGGAGAAGUGGACUGUAGCAAGCUCUUUUCAGAAGAACUGAGUUGACGAAGCAGAUUUGUAAUGUACAGCUGAGGCAGCAUUAAAAAUACUUGGAGUAACAAUCUUUACCUCCCAAAAGCACAUCCUGGCAGUAUGUUUGAAGAUAAUCCUAAUGCUGCUUGAAUGACCUAAGGCAGUAGAGCUUGAGUGUGAGCCUAGCAUCUUGUAGCAGCAGGUCAUGGAGGCAGAGAUGUGAUUUCCAAGGCUAGGCUGGAGGGGAGCAUCUGAGAGUGCUUGUUUCGAUUUUGGAGUGUCUGUGGUGGAAGGCGUAUGUGAAAAGGCUUUUAGUGUUUCCUCAUCAGGAGGAAACUGCUCGUGUAUUAACGCAGAGACUGGGUGCACUUCGGUGGGCAAGGUGAGAACACCCAAUGGAAAGGCCACAAAAGCAGCCCAGCAUGGCAAAAAAAAAAAGAAGUGUUUUUUGUUACUGUGCAUAUUGUGGUACAAAACCUGACCAUGCCUUCACAAGGGAGAAUAUUACUAUGCUGACUGUGGUGCCUCUUUUCUUUCCCAGAUUCCACCAUCAGAAGAGUGUGAAGAUGCUACCAGAUAAAUUGUCUGUUGUGCUUUGAUUUGCGUUCCACAUUACAUUCUCUCUUAUUUUCCUGUAAAUUGUAUUGCUGUCAGAAAGAGAGGAAACAUUAUAAUCCUAUGAAUAAUGCAUAACGUGAAUGAUUUUGUUCACUUUUUCGUGAGCAGCAUAGAUUUUCUGGGAACAAUGGACAGGAGAGGAUUGCUGGUGUUGCCUUACGGAUUUCAUUCUGGGAAAGAAGUAAUAUUUGAAGUGAAGGGAGGAGUGCUAUGAGGAGCUGGAGCCAGACGUACCACGCCAGGAGCUGCAAGGUGAUGUAAUGUUUUCAUCUCUGAAAACCUGGUUUCGAGAAAAGAUUUGUCUCCAAAAUGGAAAUCUGCUUUUGAUUCAACAUUAGGUACCAGCAGACAGCACUUUGCAGUCCUACUUCUUUGAUUACUGCAGCCUUUCCUCAAGCAAAGUCCCAGUGCACAUUGCCCAGUGCAUGUGCAGUCUGUGUUAAAGGUUACCCAGGUCCCAGCAUUCAUUUGCCACCAACAGAAAAGAACAGAAUAAAUUCAAUCAAAAUUUGUAAAUAAAAAU
ensembl:lncRNA